rnacentral:rRNA from 1 species
UACGAAGGGGGCUAGCGUUGUUCGGAAUUACUGGGCGCAAAGCGUGCGCAGGCGGCGCGUUAAGACAGGUGUGAAAGCCCCGAGCUUAACUUGGGAAUUGCGCUUGUGACUGGCGUGCCGGAGUGUGGCAGAGGGAGGUGGAAUUCCACGUGUAGCAGUGAAAUGCGUAGAGAUGUGGAGGAACACCGAUGGCGAAGGCAGCCUCCUGGGCCAGCACUGACGCUCAUGCACGAAAGCGUGGGGAGCAAACAGG